rnacentral:misc_RNA from 1 species
GGAGAUUCGGCUUACGUGGCUUUGCUUCCUUCGGGAUUCUCAAUUGUACCCGACGGCCCAGGAUCUCGUGGGUCCAAUGGGCCUUCAUGUAAUGGGGGCCCAGAUCAAAGAAUUAGCGGGUCACUCUUGACGGUAGCCUUUCAGAUAUUGGUGAAUAGUCUUCCUACAGCCAAGCUUACUGUGGAAUCAGUGGAAACAGUCAAUAAUCUUAUAUCAUGCACUGUUCAGAAGAUUAAAGCUGCACUUCAAUGCGAAAGCUAAUAUUUGAGACAAGGAGAACAACUUUUUUUAAUAUAUUUUUUUUUAAUAAUAUAUAGUUUAACUAGUAGAAAGAAAAAAAAAAAAA